GAUGAACGCUGACAGAAUGCUUAACACAUGCAAGUCAACUUGAAUUUGGGUUUUUAACUUAGGUUUGGGUGGCGGACGGGUGAGUAACGCGUAAAGAACUUGCCUCACAGCUAGGGACAACAUUUGGAAACGAAUGCUAAUACCUAAUAUUAUGAUAAUAGGGCAUCCUAUAAUUAUGAAAGCUAUAAGCGCUGUGAGAGAGCUUUGCGUCCCAUUAGCUAGUUGGAGAGGUAACGGCUCACCAAGGCGAUGAUGGGUAGCCGGCCUGAGAGGGUGAUCGGCCACAAGGGGACUGAGACACGGCCCUUACUCCUACGGGAGGCAGCAGUGGGGAAUAUUGGACAAUGGACCGAGAGUCUGAUCCAGCAAUUCUGUGUGCACGAUGAAGUUUUUCGGAAUGUAAAGUGCUUUCAGUUGGGAAGAAACAAAUGACGGUACCAACAGAAGAAGUGACGGCUAAAUACGUGC
rnacentral:rRNA from 1 species